UCCUCAUUAGCUCAAUUGGCAGAGCGAGCGGCUGUUAACCGCUAGGUUCUUGGUUCGAGUCCAAGAUGAGGAGCCA
rnacentral:tRNA from 3 species